rnacentral:rRNA from 1 species
UACAGAGGUCUCAAGCGUUGUCCGGAUUCAUUGGGCGUAAAGGGCGCGUAGGCGGCGGGGCAAGUCAGGUGUGAAAUCCCGGAGCUCAACUCCGGAACUGCAUUUGAUACUGCCUCGCUAGAGUACUGGAGAGGAGACUGGAAUUUACGGUGUAGCGGUGAAAUGCGUAGAGAUCGUAAGGAAGACCAGUGGCGAAGGCGGUUCUCUGGGCCUGUUCUGACGCUGAGGAGCGAAAGCGUGGGGAGCGAACAGG